UGAGCAAUCUGCCCUUCUCUUCGGAAUAAGCGUUGGAAACGACGUCUAAUGCCGAAUACGACCUCCUUUCGCAUGAUCGGAGGUGGAAAGCUCCGGCGGAGAAGGAUGAGCCCG
rnacentral:rRNA from 1 species